rnacentral:rRNA from 1 species
UACAGAGGGUGCGAGCGUUAAUCGGAAUUACUGGGCGUAAAGCGUACGUAGACGGUUGGAUAAGUCGGAUGUGAAAGCCCCGGGCUCAACCUGGGAAUGGCAUUCGAGACUGUUCAGCUAGGGUGCAGAAGAGGGAAGCGGAACUUCCGGUGUAGCGGUGAAAUGCGUAGAUAUCGGAAGGAACACCAGUGGCGAAAGCGGCUUCCUGGUCCAGCACCGACGUUCAGGCACGAAAGCGUGGGGAGCAAACAGG